rnacentral:rRNA from 1 species
GUCCACGCCGUAAACUAUGCACACAAGCUGUAGUGGGAUUUUACUCCUGCUGUGGCGAAGCUAACGCAAUUAGUGUGCCGCCUGGGGAGUACGGUCGCAAUACUAAAACUCAAAGGAAUUGACGGGGGCCCGCACAAGCGGUGGAUUAUGUGGUUUAAUUCGAAGCAACGCGCAGAACCUUACCUAGGCUUGACAUCCCUUGACAAACGUAGAAAUACGUCUUUGUAGCAAUACACAAGGAGACAGGUGCUGCAUGGCUGUCGU